CUCCCCAUGCCCACACGUACCUGCUGCCGGAAGUCUGCCACCUGCUGCUCAAAGCGACUCAGGAAACGCCUCCUCUGGGAAGCCUGCCCUGAAUGCUUCCUGUGUUUUCCCUGCCCCUGAGUGGAGCCUCUCCUUCCUGGCCUCCCCCCACCUCUUCCAACAAGGUCAGCUCUUCCACAGGGGGGCCUGGGUCUCCCACGUCUGCACCCACAGCUCCCAGCUCAGAGCCUGGCACUCAGAACACGAACAUCGCAAAAACCGAGAAAAUCCAGAACAAGUCAGGAGUGUCCAGGGGCAAACUCCCAGCUGUCCUCCGUGGCUCACGGCAGAUCUUCCAGUUAAGCGCUCAGCUGAUGCCACCAGAGAAAGACGCAUCAGAGCCUCGGGUCCAGGGCUCCUGCUUGGCCCUGGUGCCACAGAGCGCGUCCUAGAGAAGGAGCGGCGCAGAAGAGUGGGUCCCGCACCAGAGCUGCGACUCGUGUCUGCUCGCCCACACUUCAGCCUGACUCCCAC
rnacentral:lncRNA from 1 species